CCUACGGGAGGCAGCAGUGAGGAAUAUUGGUCAAUGGACGAGAGUCUGAACCAGCCAAGUAGCGUGAAGGAUGACUGCCCUAUGGGUUGUAAACUUCUUUUAUAUAGGAAUAAAACGAGGCACGUGUGGCUUUUUGUAUGUACUUUAUGAAUAAGGAUCGGCUAACUCCGUGCCAGCAGCCGCGGUAAUACGGAGGAUCCGAGCGUUAUCCGGAUUUAUUGGGGUUAAAGGGAGCGUAGAUGGUUUGUUAAGUCAGUUGUGAAAGUUUGCGGCUCAACCGUAAAAUUGCAGUUGAUACUGGCAGUCUUGAGUACAGUUGAGGUAGGCGGAAUUCGUGGUGUAGCGGUGAAAUGCUUAGAUAUCACGAAGAACCCCGAUUGCGAAGGCAGCUUACUAAACUGUGACUGACAUUGAUGCUCGAAAGUGUGGGUAUCAAACAGGAUUAGAUACCCUAGUAGUC
rnacentral:rRNA from 1 species